AUGAGAAAACAUGACAUUCACAUAGUUCACUAUCUUUUUUUAUUACAGAAAAUGUCUUUUUUUUUUCUCCCAGAGUGGCAAUACCAAACAACUCAGAUCGUAGAAUUCUGGCCAGCAUUCGGUCCACAAAAGAGGAACAAGGAAAUGGAUCAUUUUUGUGUGUCUGCGGAGCCAGCUUCCAUCCACAGAGGACCCACGGCGGGCUGAUGGGGCUACAGUAACGUCACGACACAGACACCACCACGUCCCGAGGAGCACUGAAGAUUUUGACCAAAAUACCCCCAAACAUGAAGCUAGAACCAUCAGUUGAGAAACUUACAACCCAGUGACCUAUUUUUGUUUGCACUUCUUAAAGGGCCGGCCUUCUUAUUGCAUUUAAAUGGGAAUAAAAAUUGAGACUUUAAAAGAUCUUAUAAAGAAGCCCAUUGGUAAGUAAAAGACCAUUUGUUUAAAAAAAAAAAAAAAGCCCAUUGUCAUGAUGAUCCCAAAUCUAAACUUUCCUACUCUAACAACACUCCCGUCUUCCAUCCCAGACCGCUGAUCCCCAGAAUGGAGAUUAUGAGCCAGCUCCUGAGAAAACUUACCUAGCUAGAAUGACAGCAACGAUAAAGUUGGUAAGAUUUUAUCAGGAAGUAGAAAUUUUAAACAUAGGCGCUCCUCCCCCACCAAACCAACGUACAUAGAUCGUGA
rnacentral:lncRNA from 1 species